GGUUCUUCAAAACCGGUGGCAAAAACAUGGGUUAAAGUAGGCGGGUUUUUUAGAAGAGGUUUUUGGCACCGGUUUGAACCGAACCUUUGCCAAAAACCUUUUUUUUUAAAAAAAAUCCCUUAUAUAUUUCCCUAAACCCUACCCUCCCUCAUACUCGGCCUCCUUCCUCUCUUCUCUCUCCUGAUCUCCUCUAGCCUCCUCUCUGCUCUCUCCUCUCCUCUCCUCUCUUCUCUCUCCUCUCUCCUCUCCCUAAAAAAAACCCCCUUGUUCACCUAAACACCACCGAAGACGACCACCAACACCACCACCAAGUCCAAUACUCAAGACCACGAACAACAACGAAUCUAAUCAAGAUGGGUACAUCAAUUUAGAUCUUAAAUUGAAGAAUCAAGAUUCAAGAAUAUUGAUUUAGAUGUGUAGGGUUUUUUUAUUUAUAUUCUAAUUUUUUUUAUUUACGAGUAUAUUGUAAUUUUUUAUUUAUAAUGUAAAUUUUUUUAUUUAUUUAUAUGUUGUAAUUGAUUGUAAUUUUUUUUUUUGAUUAUGUAUUGUAAAAUUUGGAUUAUAUUGA